rnacentral:misc_RNA from 1 species
AAGUCGUAACAAGGUUUCCGUAGGUGAACCUGCGGAAGGAUCAUUAUCUAUUCCAUGAGGUGUGGUCGCGGCCCUCGGCGGGAGCAAAACUGCCACCGGGAGGUAGAGGUAACACUUUCACGCGCCACAUGUCUGAAUCCUUUUUUUACGAGCACCUUUCGUUCUCCUUCGGUGGGGCAACCUGCCGUUGGAACCUAUUAAAAACCUUUUUUUGCAUCUAGCAUUACCUGUUCUGAUACAAACAAUCAUUACAACUUUCAACAAUGGAUCUCUUGGCUCUG